GACGAACGCUGGCGGCGUGCUUAACACAUGCAAGUCGUACGGUAAGGCCCUUUCGGGGGUCCACGAGUGGCGAACGGGUGAGUAACACGUGAGUAACCUGCCCACAACUUUGGGAUAACGCUAGGAAACUGGUGCUAAUACUGGAUAUGUGCUCCUGCUGCAUGGUGGGGGUUGGAAAGCUCCGGCGGUUGUGGAUGGACUCGCGGCCUAUCAGCUUGUUGGUGGGGUAGUGGCCUACCAAGGCGGCGGCGGGUAGCCGGCCUGGGAGGGUGACCGGCCACAUUGGGACUGAGAUACGGCCCAGACUCCGACGGGAGGCAGCAGUGGGGAAUAUUGCACUAUGGGCGCAGGCCUGAUGCAGCAACGCCGCGUGCGGGAUGACGGCCUUCGGGUUGUAAACCGCUUUCAGCAGGGACGAAGCUUUUUGUGACGGUACCUGCAGAAGAAGCACCGGCUAACUACGUG
rnacentral:rRNA from 1 species